rnacentral:tRNA from 1 species
GCGCACGUGGUGAAAUUGGUAGACACGCCAGCUUGAGGGGCUGGUGGGAGCAAUCCCGUGGAAGUUCGAAUCUUCUCGUGCGCA